rnacentral:tRNA from 1 species
GCCCAGGUAGCUCAGUAGGUUAGAGCACUUCCUUGGUAAGGAAGAGGUCGUCGGUUCGAAUCCGACCCUGGGCU